GCCUCGGUGGCUUAGGGGUAUAGCGCGUCCUUGGUAACCGGCACUGAAUGCAGGACAAUCAGGACGAGGUCGAGGGUUCAAAUCCCUCCCGGGGCU
rnacentral:tRNA from 1 species